rnacentral:rRNA from 1 species
UACGUAGGGGGGCUAGCGUUGUCCGGAAUCAUUGGGCGUAAAGCGCGUGUAGGCGGCCCGAUAAGUCCGCUGUGAAAGUCCAGGGCUCAACCCUGGGAUGCCGGUGGAUACUGUCGGGCUCGAGUCCGGAAGAGGAGUGUGGAAUUCCUGGUGUGAGCGGUGAAAUGCGCAGAUAUCAGGAGGAACACCAAUGGCGAAGGCAGCACUCUGGGACGUGACUGACGCUGAGACGCGAAAGCGUGGGGAGCAACAGG